GUGCCUGGUACCUAGAACUAACUCUUUGAUACAAAAUGUGUUGGAUGCCAGGCCUGGAGAUGCGGGUGUGUACUCCCAAGCUUCUAGGAAGACCAAGGCAGGGCGAUCUCUAAUUCAGAGAUACGGAGCAAAAUCAAGACAAGGUGUCUUUAUGUAUCCAGCUGGCUUGAGAUCUCCCUGGCCCAUGCACCAGGUGCUGGAAUGAUAAUGGUUUAAGGGAACAUUCUCAUCCACGAUGGCUGACAUUGCCGAGGUCCUCUUCAUGGGCUGACCCAGAAGACAUGUCACAGCCUGGCAGGACUCUUGCCAGCCCAUACACCCUAAAGUCUCUUAUCUGGAAUCCUGAUUCUCUACAAAAGACAUUCAGCACUGAAGAUAUUUCCAGCCACAGUUCCAAAGAUGUUGCAGAGAUGGCCCUAAUUUACUUCACUUUGUAAGAGGGGUGUGUUGCCUGCACGGAUGUAUGUGUGCCACCUGUAUGGAAUGACAACAGAAGUCAGAAGAGAGCAUUAGAUCCCCUGCAACUGCAGUCAAGGAGGGUUGUGAGGCACCGUGUGCGUUCCAGGAACCCAAGCCAGGUCCUAUGCGAUCACUGAGCCAUCCCUCCAGCCCAUAGAUACGAGUUUUUGAUUCACUUUGAUGACUACUUGGUUGCAUGUUAUGACAUAGACAUGUUAUAAUACAGUGUCAUUUUGUACUCCCACCAGCAAUGAAUGAACGCUCCUGUGUCCCACAUCCUUGGGAGCACUUAUUAUCAGUGUUGGGUUUUAGCUACCUUUGUGUGGCAAUUUCCUUCCAGAUUGAAACAUGGCAUCCUCCAGGGAAGCUCCUUAAGAUAGAAAGCAAACAACUCAAAAUGUCUUCAGGAAGUUCCUGAAGCUGACAAGAUUCACUAAGCUCCUCCAUCCCAAGAGUAAACAGUGAAGACUGUAAAACAAACAAACAAAUAAACAACUCUCAGGGGAACCAAACCGCAAAGAAACUCCAAGACCAGCAGAGCAGCCUGGAAGAAGCAGAACCCAGCCAAGCUGCUUGGAAGGGGCUCUGAUCAACUGAACCACUUAGAAAGGACACCUUCCAACCUGUUGAGCUGCCUGCAGCCUGCACAGCAUGCUCCAGCUUCUGCGAGCUCUCACCGUGCUGGGGUGGGCUUUGGUGUUGUGUUUGGGUCACUUCUGUUCCUGUGAGUGACCCUGGUAAAGCUCACUGGUGGACUCUGGAGACAUUUCUACUUUAGUCUGUCACGGGCUGCCCAUCGAGAUGAGUAGACAUGUGUGUUGCAUGUCCCCAGGAAAAGUCUGUCACACAACAGCCAUUAAAAAAGACAUGUCACUGCUAAGGUGAUGUUUUGAAGAUG